UACGUAGGGUGCAAGCGUUGUCCGGAAUUAUUGGGCGUAAAGAGCUCGUAGGCGGUUUGUCGCGUCUGCCCGUGAAAGUCCGGGGCUCAACUCCGGAUCUGCGGUGGGUACGGGCAGACUAGAGUGAUGUAGGGGAGACUGGAAUUCCUGGUGUAGCGGUGAAAUGCGCAGAUAUCAGGAGGAACACCGAUGGCGAAGGCAGGUCUCUGGGCAUUAACUGACGCUGAGGAGCGAAAGCAUGGGGAGCGAACAGG
rnacentral:rRNA from 1 species